rnacentral:rRNA from 1 species
UACGUAGGGUGCAAGCGUUAAUCGGAAUUACUGGGCGUAAAGCGUGCGCAGGCGGUUGUGCAAGACAGAUGUGAAAUCCCCGGGCUCAACCUGGGAAUUGCAUUUGUGACUGCACGGCUAGAGUGUGUCAGAGGGGGGUAGAAUUCCACGUGUAGCAGUGAAAUGCGUAGAGAUGUGGAGGAAUACCGAUGGCGAAGGCAGCCCCCUGGGAUAACACUGACGCUCAUGCACGAAAAGCGUAGGGGGAGCAAACAGG